AUAUGGUAAUAAUCAUGAUGAGAUCUACCUAUUGUCCAAAUAAUGUCAUGAUAUCUUUAAAAACAACGAGGGGGUGCCGUGUUGAAAAAAAUCAAUAAAAGGGAGAUAACUUCUAAAGUGGAUGAUGAAAUCCUUAACAGGGUCAUUUGGUAAAACUGCAUGAUGAGGUCUAUCAAUGGUCCAUAUUUGAUCUUGGUAACUUUAACAGAAAGAAGGGGCGGGCAUGUCAAAAAAAUGUUGGAAGAAAAAAAAGAAAAA
rnacentral:lncRNA from 1 species